CUCAUACACGUCAGAUAGCAUUGCUGAUUUUUGUUAACGUUUAACUAACUUUUCUUCUUCUUAUUCCACCCAUUAUCUAUGUCCCCCAAUUCAAGAUUGUCGCUAUAAGCAAUGGCACAUCCGACAUGCAAUACCGACGGGUAUUGAGGAGGAAACAUAGAAAAUAUAAAAACGAGCAUUCUAAGGGCGAUUGGAGUCUAGAAAGUCAAUAAAAUCCUCGAGAUAAAAUGUUACUUAUGGUAUAAAAGAGUCAUUCUGCUUCCGCUCGUUUGAUUUUCAAAGACGGGUCGCCAUUCGUCAUCAUGGUGGUGACAUAACUCGACUCUGGUGCUUUUGCAUCGGAAGAACAACCUGUUGGUCAGCGAGGGUUGCAGAUGAGUAUGGUGUCCUGUGUCCGGGAGUAGAGAGAUAAUAAAUCUCAUACCUGUGUAUGAUGAAGCUAGUGCUUGACCUGUCUUUGUCGAGAACUUGAGAUAGAAGGUGAGGUUGUGUAGCUUUGUACCUAAUGUACACCUUACCGUUGCCGUCAUCAGGGCCUAGAUGCCGCCCCAUAGGCCUUGCCUCUACAAGUUACCGCCUCUGGCAAUGCAAUUUGUGGACGCCGUUUUCAAGUACAUUCUCUAUUGCAGACUCUCACCACCAUUGCUCACUCGCAGAGGUCAGCGACAUGUCCCU
rnacentral:lncRNA from 1 species